UCAAAAUCCAAAGUACAUGUAACAGUAAUACAAGUUUACAACAUCUUAACUGCAGGCUCAACAAUACGGUGACAUAAUCCUAAAUCUCCUACAUAUGCACCUCUCGUACACAAAAUCGUCUCUCCUCGUAUAUCGUAUAUCGUAUCUACAACUAUUUCUCUCUUUUAUACUACUCUAAUAACCUGAUUACAAUAUGGUUAAAUGACUUUGAACAAAGAAAUAUUCUACAGGAGCUAUAUUAUAGGAGCCCGGAGCCCGAAGCCCGGAGCCCGGAGCCCGGAGCUAAGGUCAGCUGAAACUGAGGUCAACCGAGGCACUUGUAUAUAUGUUCCAGACCGUAUGAGUAUUUGGACCGUACGCGUACGGUCUGACUGAUAUUAAGAAGUUGGUCAAGCUUAUUAGAUACAAAUGUAUAUAACAGAUCAACAUGACUUAUAUCUCCAAUUAUUAUAAAAAGUUCAACAGCAUUUGACAUAAAAACUUAAUAUUUUAACUAUUUAAAAAGAUCACGCUUAUUUAAUCUGUUAAUCUCCUGUAUUUUGCAGGCCGGUAAUUCAUUAAUUGCAGCUCAGUAUGCUCAUUGAAAUUGAAGUUAUCGGAAGUAAACAUAAUGUGGGAGGACAAUUGUUUUAGAAUAUUUAUGAACUUUACAAAAGAAAUGCAUACGAAAAGGAACAUGCAUUAACAAAACAUGUAAAUGUAAAAAAUACGACGUUCUUAUUAGAAGCAAGUGUCACCUUCGGCCAGAGUAACAAAAUAGAAUUCACGGAUAUACAAUUAAGCAAAUAUUUAAUUUCAAUUGUUCGCUUAUUCACUUUAUCAUCGGCCAUAUAACGAUAUGUAUAACUAAAAAUAAAGAUUUUGAUAAAUGUUUGUUUAAAUUUAACCCAUAUGAUCCCAAAACGUAUGAUCAGCUGGACCGUACGCGUAUACUCAUACGGUCCGACCGUACGCGUAUGGUCGGACCGUACGAGUAUACGUAUACGGUCCGGACCGUACGCGUACGGUCCAAAUACUCAUAUGGUCUGGAACAUAUACAAAGCAACGGGGCACCAGCUGAUUGACAUGAUUGAUUUGACAUUUAACAAGUACAAUCUGAUUGAAAGCGAUAAAAAUAGAUUGUAAGGAAUUACUUGACAACGUUUAAUGAGAAUAAUUAAUCUGAUAACACCAUGAUGAUUAAACCCAGUGAUGCAUGUAAUAAACGAAAAACGUUACAAAAUUUAUAGUCCAGGAAGACGAAUUAUUUA
rnacentral:lncRNA from 1 species